CACUCUCUCCAGGUGUAGUAGUAGUGUAGUAGAAUAGUAGAAUAGUAUUAGUGUAGUACGAGAGUCAGUGAAGCGUUUGUACACAUUCGUAAGCGUUACAGAGUGUAGUUAACUCGAUAGAAACUAAUUGUUUCAUGUCAAAUAAGAAAAUGUUGAGUGUAAAAGGACGUUUCUUUGCGAACUAUAUAUUUUUCUCGAAUAUAUAAAAUAUCAAGCUGUCUGAAAAUAUUUUUGAUAUUAUUCAAAUAAUAGUGAAAUCAAGGACUUUUGAUUACUUGGAGAACACUUCAUCUAGUGCAUUCCAAUGAAAAUAAGGAUAGAACGUAUAUUAGAACAAAAAUUAUAUAAAAUACUUGUUAACUUGUAAAAAAUUGAGAUACCACAACGACUACUACGAAUAGAAAGUAAAACGAAUAUAAUAAACACUCGUUUUACACGAGACGAUAAUUAAUAUUACAUAUAUUUUCUUUUAUUAUUCUAUAUAUUUUAUAUUCAAAAUUAUAAAUAUCAGGAGGGUGAUGUGUAAAAAUUGUCAAGAUUGUUUCUACUUUCAAUUUUUCCUCGAUAAAUCAACAAGUGGUUCCAACAAUAUUACGAUCUAGUGCAUACAAGGUGAUAUGAUGUAAUGCGCAUGCGCAAAGGAUGUGAACUUUUACUUAAAAUAUUUUUUAUAUUUUUAGCAAAAAAUUAAUUAAGAAUUAUAAAAAAAGUUAGACUACUU